rnacentral:lncRNA from 1 species
UUCCUUUGCAUCCUAUAAAAAAAUAUAGGAAGAAUUAAAAACUCAUAAAUUAUACAUGCAACAACGAAUAAAUACAAUUGAAACAAUAACUUUCAUAAAAAUUUGAAAGAAAAAAAAAAAAAAAAACUAGAACUAAUAUAAAAUGAAAUGAGAAAAUUUUUAGAAAAAUAAAUGAGUUAGAGUCUAUCACUUGAGGAUAAAAUGUUGUCCACUAAUUAAGUAGAAAAACUUUAUAAUAAAAUAGUGAUUCCUUAGUAAAUAAAAUAAAGUAAAAUCUUCAAGAGUAACGUAGUUCCAAAUAUGAUAUAACAUCAAAAAGUUAAAAAUAACGAAUCAUGGUACACCAAAACAACAAAAGGAUAAAUGAAACAUAAUAUAAAUAACUAACCAAAAUAAAUGUUCUACAAGCAAAGUUGUGAACAUAAAAAAUUCAAACAUACAAAGGAAAUACCAAAGAAAUAAACACACAGAAAAUACCAAAGGAAUACAAGACUAGGUGGAUGGCUUAUCUAGAGAUUCAAAAACUAUAAAUAAGGAGGGGGGAAGAUGUAAAAAGAAAUUUCCCUUAUCAUUAAUUUUCAUGUUAUAUUUUCUUAAAAAUUUUCAAAUCCUGAAAUCAUGAUAGGUUAGGCUCUAGACAUGACAUUUUUUUCAUUAACUUUUUUAUAGGUUGCUUUCUAAUAGAAGUAAAUUAAUUUUUUCAUUCAAUCAUCACUCAUCCUUUUUUAUUGGUCAAAUGGAAAAAAGAAAAAUAGAUAUACAUAUAUUUAAAAGCAAAUUAUUGAUUUUGAAAAAUGUUUCAGGGCAUUUUCAAGGUUGAUAAAAGGAUAACAAUUGAACAAAAUUUUCAUUCAUUCACCACAAAAAAAGAAAAUGUUGUUCAACUCCUUCCAUCUAUAAAGUGAACUAGUUAGUACAAAAUAGAAAAUCAAUUUUAUUAAAAGGAAAAGGUAAAGUUCAAUUUUCAUUCAUGUCAUCACAAAAAUUAAAUGGUUGCUCAACUCCUUCCAUCUAAACUAACUAGUUAGUACAAAAUAGAAAAUCAAUAUUACUAAAAAGAAAAGGUAAAUAAUAAAGAAAAAUUUUUAUUCGAAAAUACAAAAGAUUCACGCAAUUAUACCUUUUUCUUCUUCUCCCUUUUUCUCAUUUUGCCUCAUGAAAUGGAUCUAAGCAAGAGAAAACAAGAAAGCACCCACAUUAAGAUAUUGCAUGUAUUAUGGUAAAAAGUUAACAAGAGAAACUUGAAAGUAUAAACUAGAAGACUUAAACAAAUUUAAACAAAAGAAAAAAAGAAACAAGAAAAGAAAAGAAUAGAAAAUGAUUAAUACAAAGAUUGGACUUUUUUUUUUUAUAAUAUAAAAACCUAAAAAAUUAUAAAACCAACAAAAGUAAAGAAUAAAAAUGAAUGAGAUAGUAAUGAAUAACAUAUUGUCUCUUUUGAAUGAAUAACAUUGAUAAUAAAUUGAAAUGUUAAUGAGACAACAACCUUACUUGACAUGCCCGGAAGAACAUUAUUUCUAUGGAUCAAGUAGGUUACUUAAUCUACAAUAUCCUUCAUCUGAGAUAGAAUUCAUCAAUGGAAAUAUUAAGUAUUGACGAUAUUAUAUCUUAGAAAUCAAAUUGUGAUACUUCUAAGAUAACUUUUUCCCCUUAAUUUAACAACACAAUCAUCGCAUAUUCCAUCUUUAGUAACUUCAAGUACAUAUCCAAUGCAACAAGAAGGAGAACAACCCAAUAAAAGAAAAAAGAAAAUUGGGAGAAAAGGGAAAAUAAAAUAAAAUCUUGAAUCCUUUGUUAUUACGAGUUUUAAGCUUCCCAAAGUGAAAAUCUUACCUUUGUAAGCUUGACAGUUUCAUGUUACCUCCUGUCAAGUAGAUUUUGGUUUUUCUGUCCAAAAAUCAUAAAAGAAUUCAAGGUUCAAAACUUUGAUUUCUUUUCCUUUCUAACCCAUUUCUCAAUAACCAAAUAGAUCAUAAUUUAAAAAAUCCGUAACAAAAAUAUUAAUAAAUGGUAUGAGAAUGAAAAACAUCAUAGUUGAACAAUCUAAGUAAAGAUGAAAAUUGUCCAUGGUUUUUUAUGAAGAGAUACCAUAGAUCUAACAUACUAUGGCACCAUAAAACGUCACUAAAACACCAACUCUCCUUUCAAUUGCUAAGAAAAUGUAAGAAAAUUAACAAACACAAAAGAACCAAAACAGACUCAAAUACUAAACUUUAUAUGUUUAAUACCUUUCUAAAUGCCUUCUCAAAUGCUGCAACCAUCUCCAAAAUCGAAGUUCCUUUCCCAGUUCUCAAGUUGUACACUUCACAACUUGUUGUAGGAUAUCUCAUGAAAAUCAAUAUUGACAAGGUUUACUUCCCAUUUACUCAAGUGAUUUAUGACAAUGUCUAGUUCUAACCUCUCCUCAAAAAUUCAAUAUGCAAGUGCCUGCAGAGCUUGAAUUUUUUUAAUACAAGAAACAUUUUCUUUUCUAGGUGGUAGGUUAGGGAAGUAACAAAUACCAACACUUACUCAAGGAAGGGUUGGAGAGUGGGACCUACUAAAGAAACUUUUUUCUGACUAUUUUCAUUGCCCUAAGAAAAAUAUAGAAUCAACAACAUCCAUUGAAAUUAAUGACAUAAAAAAACUGCUAAAUUUCCUAGAAUAUUUCAGAAAUAGUGAUAUUCAACCUUGUAAACCCGAAAAUAAUCAGCAAUGGCAACCCUCUAUUCAUUGGUCAACUUGAAGAUGAUUGAAGUAUGAUCCAAAUCUUUAGAUGUUGUACAUAUAAGAAACCAGAGAAAAAAGAAAUUAUGAAAUGUUUAAGACAAGACCGAACACAUUAUACUCGGUUGAAUGUAUAAACAUAUAUGCCUUACCUCUAAGGGUAGUAUCAAUCACUUUAAUAGCUACUGCCAUUUGUGGCUAGCAAUCCAAGCAAACAUCAACACCCAAGCAGCAGAAGGGCAAGGAACAACUCUAAAGACACUUGAAAGAAGGGAGUAGCCAACACAAAUUCCAUUAGCAUGCACAAGAUACUUGCAUGACACCAACCAUCAUCAUCUUGAGAAAGCAAAAGAGAAGGAAAAAGGAAAAAUCUCCAUAAUCUGAUUUGCAUGCACACCCCUAGCUAAUACUAGAGCUUUCAAGUGAACUAAUUGUAGUAGUUGGAUUUUGAUUAAGAAUGGGUUGGGGCUCCAAUAAUUAUGGGGUGGUUCUACUUAAAUAGAAAUGGAUAUGAGGUGGAUACUUAUGUUAGGUGUCCCCGACUAAGAUCCUUUAAACCACCCUUCUAUUUAUACUUAAGAAAUAAAUUGAAUACUUUAAUUCACUCCUGACCAAAAAAAUGCAAACUCGGAAACGUAAACCCUUAUGAAACCUCAAAAGAAGUGAUCUAAAUGAAAUGAAUAAAAGUAUAUCAAAGUAAACCCUCUUAGGACUAGUCAUGUAAGUAUCCAAAAAAAUCUCCACACUGAGUAAUUAAACAAAUAGAACGAGUAAUAGGAAUCAAAGUGCAUGAUUUUCUAUACGAGAAACUUUAAGAUGAGACCCCUUCAUAACUUUUCAAGUCAUGAAAAUUAACAAAAAAUCAAACAGCAAAAGAAAACUAAAUGUUAUUUCUUGUAAAUGAAUGAAGUCCAAAGUGGUUAAUUAUUAUGUUUCUACAGUCUGAAGAAGUAAUCUCUAAAACCCAUUCAUGAUGAAUAACACUACACACAACAAGGAAAUGAUAUGGGAAUGGAAAAAUAGUACCUGAAGGCUCCAAGGUUAGAGUAAGAGAGGUUGUCAAAGUCAUUGGUCUGAGAGUUUCUGAGUAGAGAGCCACAGUUGAAAAAAAAAAUUAUUAAUUAAAUACUCAAUAUAUCAUGUGGUGAAUUUAUUUUCAGUUUGAUUUUUUUUUUAAAUUGAAAUUUCUUUUAAUACUUGAAAAAGAUGAUAAAAGCAUAUAAAAAAAACAUAGCAAUAGCUAGAUUUAAAUUGUUUAGAUAUGAUUUUAUAGGUUAAAGAACUGUAAUAAUCCAUUGAAAAAAAUAGUUAAGAGAUAAUUGAUGUAAUUUUUAACAAAAAAUUAUAGGGGCUUGUACUAUAUUUUUUAACAAAUACCAAUUUUUAUUGCUUUUGGUAUAAUGUGUACAAAUUUAAUUAUAAUUUAUAAAGUAACCUUUGUGCAAAUUUAUAAAUUCAUAAUAGCAUUAUGUCCAACAUCUUUUAGCCACAAUUUGUACUCUCAACUUCUAAGUUGAUGCCCAUAUUUUGUCACUUCAUAAUAAUGUCUCCAUGAGCAAAGAUUAUGCACAUUUUAAUCAUUGGAACUCUCCAUCUAUUAAUCUUUUUUUUUUUUUUUGGGUUACAAAAUGGAGAAAAGAUAUGUGAAUUUCAUUUUGCUUUUGGGCACCCAGUGGCUGAAGGUUCAAGGCGCCUGUUAUCUUCGUACCAUAAUUCUAGUAAAUACUGAAAUGGAAAUCUUUGGUUUAUGCAUAGACUCAAUAAUUAAAAAUAAGAUAAAAAUAAAUUCAACAAAAAUCAACCUUAUGAUGACCAAAAGGAUAAAAACUCUCCACUUCUCCACAUCAACCAACGUCUUUGCCACAGGCAAGGCUCAUGGUGAUGGACCAACAAAAAUAAGCUUGAAACAAAAUGAUACUCUUACCCAUGGGGACAAUGUCCAUGCUAAUAAACUCAUUUUUUUUAAAGACUACACUAGGGAAAUCCAAGUCAUGAAGAACAGAAUCUCAAACUUGCCAUUCAAAAAUCUCCAAACACAGGUUCAAAUUGUUGUGUCAAUCUCGCUGACUUUGAAUUCAAACCCUAAAAGUAUUGUUCAAAACCACACAACACAUUAUAAAAUCAAUCCUAAAAUGAGAAAACUAGAUUUUAAAAUCCCAAACAUAUGAAUCUAAAAUAACAAAACCCAAACAUAAAAUCAAAACUAAAAUCAACCUCAAUAAAUUUCAGAAACGACAAAUUAAAAUAGUAAAGCACAAAAGGGGGAAAACACAUAUGAAACAAUCUUUAUACAAGCCCUAACCAUAGAUAAACCCAAAAAAAAAAAAAAAAUCAAAGCAGAGAGUUACCAUUGAGCAUCUCUGUUUCAAGCUUAGAAAAGGUUUAAUGCCAUUGAUAACUAGCUGGUUAAUAGUGGACUUCAAGCUUCUGUAUUUCGGCGUUAGUAGCUCUCAACGGCUAUGGUGAGAACAAAGAAAUGAGAGGCUUAGGGUUUGGGAUGUGAGGUUAUCGAUGAUGAUGAGGAUAAAGUUAUGGGCUCUUGGGAGGUUAGGGAAAUUGAAGAUGGCUGAGGGUAAAGGCUAGGGUUUUUGAGAUAGUUAAUAGCUUUUUAGGGUGUGAGUGUCCAUAGAUAAAAGAUAAAUGAGGGUAUGAGAAUUCAUAGAUCUUUAGGUGAUAUGUCGGGUGUGAGAAUGAAAUUUUAGAGGGAAUUGUGUGUUUGGCAAAAAUUUCACAUAUGUAUAUAUAAUGUUUU